ACAACCAACAUUUAUUUCUCAUAGUUCUGGAGGCUGGGAGGUCCAAGAUCCAGGUGCCACAGAUUCUGUGUCAGACAUUUCUAUGUCUCCACUCCAUGUCUGGAUCUAUGGCAGUCAUCUUGGCAGACUGAAAAUGGCAGAGCGGCGCAGAAGGAUGGAAAGAAAACAGUGGGAUCCUGAAGAUGUUGUUGAGUAUCUGAAUAACCAGCCUUGAAAGUAGCCAUAUUAUUCAAGAGCAGUGAAUCUAGAUUUUUCUGUUAUUUGCAGCCAAACGCACCCUAUCUGGUUUUGUCCUUUAUCUCUGUACUUUGAGAAGCACCUAAUAAAAUUAUGCUUUGGACAGUC